rnacentral:rRNA from 1 species
CCGCGGUAUCCUAACCGUGCAAAGGUAGCGUAAUCACUUGUCUCCUAAAUAGGGACUAGUAUGAACGGCUAAAUGAGGACCAAUCUGUCUCCUUUAAUUAAUCAGUGAAACUGAUCUACCAGUACAAAAGCUGGUAUUAUAUCAUAAGACGAGAAGACCCUGUGGAGCUUUAAAUUAAAAGCCAAAACAUAAACCUCACUAAACCCAAAAUUAAAUGGCCCAAGAUUUUAAGUUGGGGCGACUUCGGAACAAAACAAAACUUCCGAGCAUAAAGGUAUAACACCUCACCAAGACUAACAAGUCAAAGCAAAACCAGACCCAGUACAACUGACCACCGAACCAAGUUACCCCAGGGAUAACAGCGCAAUCUUCUUCAAGAGUUCACAUCGACAAGAAGGUUUACGACCUCGAUGUUGGAUCAGGACACCCAAAUGGUGCAGCCGCUAUUAAAGG